CGGAAUAACACACAGGCACUUAUAAUACAAGAUGUUCUAUCUUUACAGACAUCAGCGAUAAAGGGGUGCAGGAUCCAGAAAAGAGAAGCCAGUAGUGAACACUGACCGUGGACAACAGAUGAAACAGACAGACGAACUAUCGCAAGAAGGUGUGGAUACAACAGUACAUUGAGAGCCGAGAAGGAAGGACUGUGCUGGAGUACUAAUUCUGAACAUGGCACUAGGUCUUUCAUGAACCCAAGGAGCUGAUAUAUUUCCAGAAACCCACCCCAUGGUACAUGCUCAGGGUCAAGAUGCCAUGGCCUGCUGACACAUCUGGAGACGGCAUCUUAACUACAGCAGCUGAAAUUGGGUCUUAUCCCAUGUAUAUGCUGAUCCUAACCUAGCAGCUUGUUUUGCUAGCUGAUUGGCCUGAUUGUCAAGCGUGGCCAGAACCGACCCCCUUCGUAUGGGCUUUUACUUUGAACUCUUUUCUUCCAGAUGGGAAGGGCUUGAACCACCCAACUAGAAGCAGAACACAGACAGAUGUUUUCCUCAGGUGCUACCCCAGACGAUACUGCCAGGACCGCAAUUCAUUGUGCAGCUUGUGCUGACGGCGGCCUCACCGUACCCUGCACCACUUGCUGUGUCCCCUCCUGGAUUGCAGCAAACCCUGCAACAGGAUGCCCUUCGUGGUGACAAGCACUCCCAUCAACUGCCCAGAGUGUUAACCCUUUUCCUUGUACUUCUUCCCAGGAUGUUGCUAAGAAGAAUGGAGAUAGUAAGUCUAAAUCAGGAUCUGGCAACGGACAUUCGUGCUCAUCUCCUGCGGUAAUCGGAGCAUAGGGAAGGAUUCUCGUAUGGGGGGGAUCUUCUCAGUACGAAUAUCCCGAUUGACCAGACUUAGAGUCCAUCCCGCCAGCCGGGGAGAGGAUACCCUUCCCUCAUUAAUUCUUCCAGAGAUGACAUAUUUUACUGGAGUAUGGCAUGUCCUCACCACAAUGAGAGCUGUGCCACUUAAAUAUUCCCAAUGUGUUAGGGACCAUACCAGGGCGAAUACCUCACGUUCGCAAGCUGAAAA